GGCGAACCAGUUGUCUAAUGCAAGGGUUGGCGAACUCAUGUGGGGUAAAAAUGAAACUCUUGGGAGUAAUGAGGACUCAUUAAACAUACAUAAAAUUAUAUAAAAACGUGUUCCUAGUUCCAACAGAAAUUUUUCUUCUGGCAACAUUGCAUCUGUCCAAUGUAAUGGAUGUGUAAAUAGAUUCAGAUAAAUAGAAUCAAUGAAACAGAUUAAAUAAACCUUUUAAAUUUAAAGAAUCUAUGAUUAUAUUCCUUUCAAAUCAAUGGGACAUAAAUAGAUAUAUUUUGGGGUAAUUGGUAAAAAAAAAAAAGUUCCCUGACCCCACCCCCCGGUCUAAUGUAAUGCAUUUUUUUAUUUGCACUGAAUUGAAUUAACCAUUCAUUAUCUUGUAGCUUUGAGAUUUUGAUGAUGUGAUUGUUUACUUUUAAAAUGACAUUGUAGGUUGGGUGUGAGAGGCCAGAUAUGGCUAGUUUGAACAUAAAAUAGGUAGAAUAUUUGGACCAGAUAUGGCCAGUUUAAAUGCUAAAGGAUUAAAUUGAUCCCAAUAUUUUGUUUUAUUGAUCACAGUUGGAUGAAAGGCAAAAUUGAUCUCAGUGGGAUUUGUUCAAAAUUCUAAUAAGUCUGCCAAUCCAUUGCCCUUUUUGCUUUUAAAUGAUGAUAAUAAUCUUUUUUAUAAAAUCUCCUUUUCCCUGAAAGUCCUCAAUCUUAAUUGGACUUGGCCUGUAAAAUUCAAAGUGAAUGUUAACCCUACCAAUUCCUUCUGGGACACUACUACUGCUGCUCCUCUUCCUUUUAAGAUGCCAAAUGGAAAAUACUUUAGUCCUGAGCAAUAGCUAACUCUGCACAGACUAAAUGUAAGCUACACUAUUGUUAUACUCUGUAACUAUUUGUUCACUGUUAUAAUAGUUGGUCUGUGUAACACUUCAUUUGGCCACCUCUACUCAUAUCUUAAUGUUUGCUCUAUUAAACUCUUCCCACUUGUCUGAUGGACACUCUUAAUGAUUCAUGGUCAUCGUUAGGACAAGUCUGUGAUAUAAUUAUGUUAUACUGCUGAAAUGGUUGUUGUAAGCAGCUGUGUUUUUUGUCACUUAAGCUUGAUGUCUCUUAUUUGUUUAUCACUUAACAAAUCUGGAAUGGAAGGAGAUUAUUGAAAGGUAAGUUGGGAAAGGAGAUAAAUUAUGAUUAGAUUAUUGAAUGUCAGUUUAAACCAUUUAUAAAAUAGUAAUUUUUUCAUUGGUCAUACAUUGUUUACUCAACUUUCAGAUUGUAUUUUAGGAAUGGCGGAAAUGGGGAGAGUGAGAGGAAAGAAAAGAAGGAGGCUAUGACACACUAACAGUGAGUUGAGUGCAAGUCAAGCUGACAUUGCUGUGACAUAGAAUGACUAUUGGGGAAAGUCCUGUAAUUCAGAAAUCCCAAUUAAAAAGCAUUUUUUGAUUGAAUUUCAAUUCAAUAUUUAAAUGGUUGAUGCAAG
rnacentral:lncRNA from 1 species